CCCAAAAAUCGCGCCUUUCAAAAACAAAAAAUCUCCCUCUUCUUCUCCGACCAAAAUUUUCAUUUUCAUUUUCACCUUCGAUUUCCAAAUUCCUUCGAAUCAAAAACCUCCAAUCUUCAAAACCAAAAUGUUUCCCUUUUCGAUUCCCACCAGAAUCUCUCCCAUUUUUCAUCCUCACUAUAAACACCCAUUUUCCCCUUUCCUCUCCCGACUCGGCUUCACUUCUCAUUCUCACUCCCAUUCCUUCUUCGCCGUCUUCCAUGGAGUUCUCCGCCGUCCGUUUCCACUCCGAUAAGGAAAACCUUCCCCCGUUUACCCAUAAGUUAUACCCUUCAAUUCCAAAGAAACCCACCAUCCGAAGGAGGUUAAAUCGGAAGCCGCUUCUCGAUAUAACCAAUUCAUUUGAAAAUACUAUUCGACUCGGUUCGAUUCAAGAUGGAUUCAUCGCCUCGGUUGAGUCAGUUUGUUUGCAGCCAAAUUCCAGGAAGAGGAAAGCUGGUGAUGAAGUUUAUUCUGGAACUGCCAAAUCGCUCAGAAUGGGAUUCAGAUAACCGUUCUUAUUUUUCCUUUUUUUUUUUUUUUUUUUUUUUUUUGUUUUUUUGUUUUUCUAUAGAAAUUAGAUCAUAGAGUUACGUUCUUUUAACAUCCUGUUAAAUGUACACAUAACAAAAAAAAAAAGAGAGUUUCAGUUUAUUUCACAUGCUUAGCAUAUAUUCGUUGGUAUUUCGUGUGCCCAAAGAAUUGACUCUUGAUUUCUUCAAUAAUUUCGUUCAAUUUGUUUUCCUAUCUUUCAUACUCCAUUUGACUUGUAGAGGGCAUGCCUCUAUUUAGUAAUCCCUGUCAGUUUGUUGGUUCUUUUAACUUCGUCUACUGCUUCUUGGACUAUUGUUUUUUGUGCCUCAAGCAAGGUUGUGAAUUAUGGACAAAUUACCAAAAGCAAAAACGGCAAUCUCACAAAAAAAAAAUAACACCUAUAAUUAAAUGAACCUCUUUAAUUUCCCCCAAAACCUGAAAAAUAGUGCUUCCACUAAUUUCACAUUUUGAAACGUUAGAAAUUGUUGAAAGCGAAGAUAGCAUCCGUUCCCUAUCUUCGCUUUUGUUGGUUCCACCGAAAAAAAUUCUUGAAACCCUUAGAUUGGAGUUUAAAGCUUUGUCCCCUCAAAACCUUCAUGUUCUUCAUACAUUCGAUGUAAAUUGAGGGAUUUUCUUCUUGUCGAUUAUCUCCCUCCUCAAAACAAUUCCAGAUUCAGGUGAGUUCUUAAUCCGCACAAAGGUGAGCUUCCACAGGUGAUUUUCUUGUCACAUUUCUUCUAAAUUCAUAACAAUGUUAUCGAGAAAUCUUUAAAAGUUCCCUUUCUUAUGAUCGCCAAGUUUCAAAAGAAAAAGUAAGAGAAAGGUAAAGUGUAUAAUAUAUAUAUAGAUACAUUUGUGAAUAUAAAUAUAUUUUUUAAAUUAUAUAAACAAAUAUAUCCUUUGCUAUUUUUUAUUUUAAAUUUAUAAAUAUUGUUUUUAUAAUUUGUAACAAAGUUAAAUAUGAAAAAGAGAAAUGGAAGAGCCAGAGAUAGAUACUAUCUCCUUUAACAAAGCGGUUGAAAAUCUAUCAAGUUCUUCCGAUGAGUAUUAAUGUAUAUAUUUUUUUUCAAUUACACAAAUGUUGUAAAUGCUGAUAACUUAUUAUACAAAUAAUUACAACAGAGACUAGAAGAUACAAUGGUCGAGGGGUCGGGAAGCAAGCAUGAAAGUUCAAACACUCCAAAGGAAGAUACUUUUCUAAUGGAUACAGUGAAGUUACGAAUGAAGUUCAUAGAAUAAUUAAUUGGGAUGUAGACACGCAAUCAAAGUGGAAUCUGAAACAAAAGGUCUUUGCCAUGUCUUCCCUAUGCUUGCUACACCUAAUGAGGUAAUUAGUCCAAAUUUCGCACCCUUCCUUGAGGGAAAAAAAAAAUACAAUACUCCAAGGGGCGGAAGACGAACUUAGAAAGAGCCAAGAAAGGGACAUGAUUGCUUAGAUGCCUCUAGAUUGAGGCAUGCCCUCUACAAGUCAAAUGGAUUGACCGACAAAAAAUGUAGACAAGAUUGAAAAAAGCCAAGAGAGAAUGGAGAAAAGUAUGGAGGAUAUUUUGGAAUUUUUGAAAUCUGUAGAGCAAGAUGAAUAGAAAGUUCGAAGAACUAGGAAACAAAUUGAAUGGAAUUAUUGAAGAAAUUCAAGAGUCAGCAACUUAUCUCUUCGAGUGCAGGAGAGACUAACGGAUAUAUGAUAAGCAUGUGACAUAAACUGAAAUUAUGUGUAAAUGUAACAUGAUUUUAAAAUAUGUUGUAUUUUAGUUUGAAUUGAGUUCAUUAUUUAGAAGAGUAUUUUUUUUGCUAUAAAGCUUACAAUUUUAAUUAUUGAGUUAGUUAGUUAGGUACAAAGUUAAAUUCUAUACAAUUUUACCCAAACUACCUCAGGAACACCUCUAUAAUUCUUCUUAGCUCUACACAACUUCAAACUUGUUAUGUCCUAUUUUAGCUUUCUUGAUCAUGUUCUUCAAGUAAAAUCUUACAUCAACAAGAUGAUUUUGGGAAUAGAACCCAUCGAACUUUUUCAAUCCAUAUAUCAUUUGGAUGGUUUACUUUAUUGUGGAAUGAUUUAUAGAGAUUAAUUUGUUACUUUAGAGAGAUUGAACUUGUUAUAAAUUUGAAGGAACAUGAACUAGAUUCAUGAAAGUUCAUUGCUCAAAAGAUUGUGUUCUAAUCUAAUUAUUGAAGAAUAUGAAAGAAAAUUAUUACAGAUUUCUCAGUUUUUCUUCUUCCUUUCUUGACAAAUAAUUGGGCUCACUUGAUUCUUUUUCUUCACUUUGCAACACACACGCAUAUAUAGUUCUGCCACCCUAUCAACCAAUAAGCCCAUUGAAGAAGAAGAAUUUCCAGCCUUCAUUCCUUAUUUAUUAAGCAUCACCUCUUAAUUUACCUAUCAAGAGACAAAAUUUUCCACCUCCAUAAUUUACCAAUCAAAGAAAAGCUUAUGGGUUUAAGAAAUAAAGUCUCAAGCUUUGGAGUUUUGGGCUCCAUAUCCUAACAUUUCCUAGCUCUCAAAAUCGUUUUCCCAACUCUACUUUUCACCCUCAAAAUGGCUCCUCCUGCUCAACCUUUCUUCUAAUGAUCAACCAUAUCCUCGGCAUCAACUCCCAAUCUAUCCUUAUUUUCUUCCUAGACCUGCGCAUGCUGGCUUCCUCAGUCCUUCCCCAGUCACUCAACAUCAAGCUGACUAACAGUACUGAUUAUCUUCUCUAGAGGACUCAACUGUUUAUUGUUGCAAUCGUCAAUGGACUUGAAGGUUCUUUGGAUGGUUAAGUUCUUUGUCCUCCUCAGUUUCUUGAUGUGAAUCAGACUCAAGUCAGUGCUGACUACACUUACGGGCAACGAUUAAAUAGGAUAUUAAUGUGCUGAAUUUACUCUUUAUUUGAAGAAAAAAUGGGUGAAAUUGUGUCUCUACAAAUUGCUCAUAAAAUCUGGUAGCCCCUUAGUCGUAUGUAUAGCUCCAAAACUACUGCUAGGAUUAGGUGUUUUAAAGAAAAAUUGUUUGAGAUAAGAAAAGAUUAUAACCAACCUUUUUAACACAUGGUUUCUAAAGUUUAGUAUGUUGUUGAUUGAUUGAGGUUUUACUGUUGCAUAGUCUGAUACAUCAUUGUUUAUUUAUUGUCAUUCCUUUGCUUUUAUCAUCGUUUUGGUUUAUGUCGAUGACACCACUGCUCUACCAUGCUAAUUUUUCCUUCAAAGAUCUAAGAGAUCUUUCCUUUUUCUUUGGGAUUGAGGUUACUCGCAAUGGUGAAACUUUGCAUCUUUCACAAGCUAAGUAUGCUACUGACCUUUUCCACCAUGCAACUUUGGUAGAUUGCAAACAGGUUGCUACCCCCAUGUCACUGGUGCUUUUUUAUCAGCUAAUGAUGAUGCUCCCUUAGCUGAUCCCUACCAUGUAUCGAAACAUUAUUAGUGUACUGUUGCAAUAUUGCACCCUUCCACGACCUGAAUUUAAGUUUUGCUCUCAACAAAGUAUGCCAGUUUUUACAUGCUCCAACUUUUUCUCAUUGACAAGCUGUCCUACGCAUUUUGCGCAACGUUAAAGUUAAUUACUAGCUCUCUUGGUAUUUUGUUCGUUCGUUCUUAUACUUUAUCUUUGACUUGUUACACAGAUGUUGAUUGGACAAAUUAUUUUAACGAUUGUCGUAGUACAAGUAGUUAUUAUGUGUUCUUUGGUGGUAAUUUGGUGUCAUGGUCCUCUUCAAAGCAAAAACUUGAUUUGCAUUAAGUCUUUACUUUUGGAACUUCAGGUUUAUCCCUCCUUUAUUCCUCUACUGCUUUGAGAUAGUGUUAGUGCAACCUUUUCAGCGGUGAAUCCUGUUCUUCACUCCCAAACAAAGCAUAUUGAAAAUGAUCCAACAUUUUACGACAGAAUGGAUAGCUCGUCUACAGCUUCUUGUACGUUUUGUACCUUCUGAAGAUCAACUAGCUGACAUUUUAACGAAGUUAAUGUCUUCUCGACCUUUCUGCAAAUUUAAGAACCAAACUUUUCGUAGUGCAUCUGUGGGUUAUUUAUCAUGUAUUUCCACUAUUAUAGUUGACUGUUUCUUCUCCAGUACGUGACUUACACAAACAAAGGCCUUAAUCCUUAUAUUCUGUCACUGUUCAUCAUCUUUAUCAAGAUCAGCACAGUACGAUUUCUACUA